rnacentral:tRNA from 1 species
GCACGAGUGGUGAAGUGGCUAUCAUAGGAGCCUUCCAAGCUCUUGUCCCGGGUUCAAUUCCCGGCUCGUGCA